rnacentral:rRNA from 1 species
GAUGAACGCUGGCGGCGUGCCUAAUACAUGCAAGUCGAGCAAACAGACGAGGAGCUUGCUCCUCUGACGUUAGCGGCGGACGGGUGAGUAACACGUGGAUAACCUACCUAUAAGACUGGGAUAACUUCGGGAAACCGGAGCUAAUACCGGAUAAUAUAUUGAACCGCAUGGUUCAAUAGUGAAAGACGGUUUUGCUGUCACUUAUAGAUGGAUCCGCGCCGCAUUAGCUAGUUGGUAAGGUAACGGCUUACCAAGGCGACGAUGCGUAGCCGACCUGAGAGGGUGAUCGGCCACACUGGAACUGAGACACGGUCCAGACUCCUACGGGAGGCAGCAGUAGGGAAUCUUCCGCAAUGGGCGAAAGCCUGACGGAGCAACGCCGCGUGAGUGAUGAAGGUCUUCGGAUCGUAAAACUCUGUUAUUAGGGAAGAACAAAUGUGUAAGUAACUAUGCACGUCUUGACGGUACCUAAUCAGAAAGCCACGGCUAACUACGUG